rnacentral:sRNA from 1 species
GCUCUUUGCCCUGAUCCAGUGGCUGGCAGUGCCAGAUGAGGAAGAAGACAAGACAAUGUUGGCAGAAAGAAUUCCUGUUCCCUCCAGUCCCGUUCCUAUAGCAACCAUCGACUUGGUACAGCAACAGACAGAAGAUGUCAUGCCACGCAUUGAGCCCAGACUUCCACCCAAGAAAACUAAGCACCAGGAAGAACAGGAAGAUGUGAACAAACCAGCCUGGGGAGUCAGCUCUUCUCCCUGGGUGACCUUUGUCUAUGCACUCUACCAAAUUAAAGAGAUGAUGCAACUCACAAGAGACAACCGUGCUUCUGAGAUACAGCCUUUACAGGUACAGUUCCUUUGCUGGGCUAGCAAUAUUACCUGUCACUCAAGAUACCUUAACUGGGCUCAGUUGUUUUAAUUACUCACUUUUCAUUCAACAAGAUUUAUUGAAAGUCUGGUGGGGGAAAUCGACAUGCAAACAAUUUCAGUACUCUGUGAGCACUGAGUUAAAGAGGGUGUAUACAAGGUCCCAUAGAGAGAAUAUUCUGCCUUAUGGAGUUCAGGAAAACUUCAGAGGUUAUGAUUCUUUCACUUCUUGAAAGAAAUAAAAUAAAUAAAUCCAUUC